UCUGGACACCCAGACACCACUUCCACCUCCUUCACAAACUGCUUCUAUCCACAACGUGCCCUUGCUGCCCGCCCAUGUUUCCUCCCAGCCUUGCGGCUCCCAGACACCAACAGCUCUACUUCCAGGUGGCAGGAUUCCUGAGGGGCGGUGCUCAUGCCCUGUGUCCUGAUUGGCAUCUGGCUGCUUCUGUCCUCAGUCUCCCAUGACCACCAACAUGUCGCUGAUUGGAAAGAAAUACAGACUCAGGCGGGCUCAGGAGCUGAAGGAACAGGAGAACAACUGACUGAAGGAGCGAGUUUGGAGUCAAGCUCUUGUG